GAGUAAUGAUGAAAAAUUGUAUUAUGGAACUUUGUAAAUGAAAUUUCUACAUUUGACCUGAGCUUG
rnacentral:snoRNA from 1 species